UACAGAGGUCUCAAGCGUUGUUCGGAUUCAUUGGGCGUAAAGGGUGUGUAGGUGGCGCCGUAAGUCGGGUGUGAAAUUUCGGAGCUUAACUCCGAAACUGCAUUCGAUACUGCGGUGCUUGAGGACUGGAGAGGAGACUGGAAUUCAUGGUGUAGCAGUGAAAUGCGUAGAUAUCGUAAGGAAGACCAGUGGCGAAGGCGGGAUCUCUGGACAGUUCCUGACGCUGAGGCACGAAGGUCAGGGGAGCAAACGGG
rnacentral:rRNA from 1 species